UUCCUCUGCACAGGUUUUGAUAAAUCUCUCCCAUUGUUGUUGUAGUAAAAUACAAGGUUACCAAAUACAGGAGGUAUUAUAUACUGCGCUGUAUAUAGCAAUUGGAAGACAUUGGGCCUCCUUUUACCUCAAUCAGAUGUUGGAAUCCAGUUCCACAAGGCCAAAGACCAUUUACAAAACAAAGAGGAGCUGUGUCAUAUAGCUUUCCCUUGCCUCCUGCUUGUAAGAAUAUAAAUAGGAAGGACUUAAAUGGAACCGUCGACUCAGUGUGGCACAGGACAGACUCGAUACACAGCCAAAGUACAACAUACAUCUUUUAAUCACAAGAUGCAACGCGUUUCACUGCGCUUGCGCAGCUUCUUCAGGCAUGACAAGACCUGAAUUUGAGAAUCCAUGACAAGACUUGUAAAAUUGCUGUUCACAGACGUCUCCAUUCAACGUGACUGAGCUUCAGAUAUUUUUGCCAAGAAAAAUGUACAAACAUUUCCAACUCUAGCUGGUAGAGACAGACCCCAAAGACCUGCAGCUGUAAUUGCAAGGAAAGGUAUUUUUUCCAAGGGGUGAAUACUCAUGUAUCCGAAAGAUGUCAACUUUUUUGUUUUCAUUAUUGUUUGUGUCACAAUAAAGGGUAUUUUGCACUUUCAAAGUACAGUGACCCCUCGACCUACGAUGGCCCCGACAUACGAUAAUUUCAACAUGCGAUGGCCUCUCAGAGGCAUCAACAUACGAUGCUUUUGUAUGUCGGGGCCAUCGUAUAAACGACUAUCCGGCAGCGCAGACUGCUUCAGCUGCCACCGGAUAGCCGUUUACGGUGCCCCGUGUGGUCCGCUGACGAUCACUUACCUGUCCUCGGGGCUCCCGCACAUCCUCUUCGGGAUCCCCUGCAUCGUUGAGGCUCUCCAUAGUCGUCAUCACGUCGCUGUGCACACUGUCCCGUCAUCCAAUAGGAGCGGCGUGCGUAGCGAUGUGAUGGUGGCGACGGAGAGCGCGGAUGCCAGGGAAGCAGAGGCCUUACCGGAGCGUCGGGGACACCUCGGGGACGAGGCGACAGCGAUGGACAUUGACAUCCCGGGCAGCGGUGACGAGCGGUGACGGUCCGGAGCGGCGGGGACAGGUGAGUACAACUUCCU